GCUCCCAUCGUCUAGCGGUCAGGACGCGGCCCUCUCAAGGCUGAAACCGGGGUUCGAUUCCCCGUGGGAGCGCCA
rnacentral:tRNA from 2 species